rnacentral:rRNA from 1 species
UACGUAGGCAGCGAGCGUUGUUCGGAGUUACUGGGCGUAAAGAGCGCGUAGGCGGUUUUCUAAGUUUGGUGUGAAAUCCCCCGGCUUAACUGGGAGGGUGCGCCGAAGACUGGAAGGCUUGAGUAUGGGAGAGGUAAGCGGAAUUCCUGGUGUAGCGGUGAAAUGCGUAGAUAUCAGGAGGAACACCUGCGGUGUAGACGGCUUACUGGACCAUAACUGACGCUGAGGCACGAAAGCGUGGGUAGCAAACAGG